rnacentral:rRNA from 1 species
AGACGUCUACAUUAGAUACCCGCGUAGUCCCAGCCGUAAACUAUGCGCGUUAGGUGUAUCGGUGACCACGAGUCACCGAGGUGCCGAAAGGGAAACCGUGAAACGUGCCGCCGUGGGAAGUACGGUCGCAAGGCUAGAAACUUAAAGGAAUUGGCGGGGAGCACCACAACGGGUGGAGCCUGCGGUUUAAUUGGACUCAACGCCGGGAAGCUCACCGGAUAAGACAGCGGAAUGAUUGCCGGGCUGAAGACUCUGCAUGACUAGCUG